GAUGUCGGCUCAUCUCAUCCUAGGGCUGAAGCAGGUCCUAAGGGUAUGGCUGUUCGCCAUUUAAAGAGGUACGCGAGCUGGGUUUAGAACGUCGUGAGACAGUUCGGUCCCUAUCUACCGUGGGCGUUGGAAAUUUGAGAGGAUCUGCUCCUAGUACGAGAGGACCGGAGUGAACGAACCGCUGGUGUUCGGGUUGUCAUGCCAAUGGCAUUGCCCGGUAGCUACGUUCGGAACUGAUAAGCGCUGAAAGCAUCUAAGCGCGAAGCAGGCCUCGAGAUGAGUUCUCACUAGACUUUUAAAGUCUCUGAAGGGCCGUUGAAGACUACAACGUUGAUAGGCAAGAUGUGGAAGUGGUGUGAGCCAUUAAGCUAACUUGUACUAAUUACCCGUGAGGCUUAACCAU
rnacentral:rRNA from 1 species